rnacentral:rRNA from 1 species
GGCGAGUGGCGGACGGGUGAGUAAUAUAUCGGAACGUGCCCAGUCGUGGGGGAUAACGCAGCGAAAGCUGUGCUAAUACCGCAUACGAUCUCUGGAUGAAAGCGGGGGACUCGCAAGGGCCUCGCGCGAUUGGAGCGGCCGAUAUCAGAUUAGCUAGUUGGUGGGGUAAAAGCCCACCAAGGCGACGAUCUGUAGCUGGUCUGAGAGGACGACCAGCCACACUGGAACUGAGACACGGUCCAGACUCCUACGGGAGGCAGCAGUGGGGAAUUUUGGACAAUGGGCGAAAGCCUGAUCCAGCAAUGCCGCGUGAGUGAAGAAGGCCUUCGGGUUGUAAAGCUCUUUUGUCAGGGAAGAAACGGUGGGGGCUAAUAUCCCCCACUAAUGACGGUACCUGAAGAAUAAGCACCGGCUAACUACGUGCCAGCAGCCGCGGUAAUACGUAGGGUGCAAGCGUUAAUCGGAAUUACUGGGCGUAAAGCGUGCGCAGGCGGUUUUGUAAGUCUGAUGUGAAAUCCCCGGGCUCAACCUGGGAAUUGCAUUGGAGACUGCAAGGCUAGAAUCUGGCAGAGGGGGGUAGAAUUCCACGUGUAGCAGUGAAAUGCGUAGAGAUGUGGAGGAACACCGAUGGCGAAGGCAGCCCCCUGGGAUAACACUGACGCUCAUGCACGAAAGCGUGGGGAGCAAACAGGAUUAGAUACCCUGGUAGUCCACGCCCUAAACGAUGUCAACUAGUUGUCGGGUCUUAAUUGACUUGGUAACGCAGCUAACGCGUGAAGUUGACCGCCUGGGGAGUACGGUCGCAAGAUUAAAACUCAAAGGAAUUGACGGGGACCCGCACAAGCGGUGGAUGAUGUGGAUUAAUUCGAUGCAACGCGAAAAACCUUACCUACCCUUGACAUGGUCGGAAUCCUGAAGAGAUUUGGGAGUGCUCGAAAGAGAACCGGCGCACAGGUGCUGCAUGGCUGUCGUCAGCUCGUGUCGUGAGAUGUUGGGUUAAGUCCCGCAACGAGCGCAACCCUUGUCAUUAGUUGCUAGCAUGUAGUUGGGCACUCUAAUGAGACUGCCGGUGACAAACCGGAGGAAGGUGGGGAUGACGUCAAGUCCUCAUGGCCCUUAUGGGUAGGGCUUCACACGUCAUACAAUGGUACAUACAGAGGGCCGCCAACCCGCGAGGGGGAGCUAAUCCCAGAAAGUGUAUCGUAGUCCGGAUUGUAGUCUGCAACUCGACUACAUGAAGUUGGAAUCGCUAGUAAUCGCGGAUCAGCAUGUCGCGGUGAAUACGUUCCCGGGUCUUGUACACACCGCCCGUCACACCAUGGGAGCGGGUUUUACCAGAAGUAGGUA